rnacentral:rRNA from 1 species
CAAUAGCGUAUAUUAACGUUGUUGCAGUUAAAAAGCUCGUAGUUGGAUUUCUGGAGGGAGCGUCGGCCCGUAUUUACGAGUGCGUGACGUCUCUGUCCAUCCUUGCGGGAAGGCACGGCAUUGAUUUGUUGUGUCGGAUCGCAUCAUUUACUGUGAAAAAAUUAGAGUGUUCAAAGCAGGCUUUCGCUUGAAUACAUUAGCAUGGAAUAAUAAGAUAGGACUUUGGUGUUAUUUUGUUGGUUGAGCCUAAAGUAAUGAUUAAUAGGGAUAGUUGGGGGCACCUGUAUUGCGUUGUCAGAGGUGAAAUUCUUGGAUUUACGCAAGACAAACAGCUGCGAAAGCGUCUGCCAAGGAUGUUUUCAUUA